rnacentral:rRNA from 1 species
GUGUCAGCAGCCGCGGUAAUACGAAGGGGGCUAGCGUUGUUCGGAUUUACUGGGCGUAAAGCGCACGUAGGCGGAUCUUUAAGUCAGGGGUGAAAUGCCGGAGCUCAACUUCGGAACUGCCUUUGAUACUGGAGAUCUUGAGUUCGAGAGAGGUGAGUGGAACUGCGAGUGUAGAGGUGAAAUUCGUAGAUAUUCGCAAGAACACCAGUGGCGAAGGCGGCUCACUGGCUCGAUACUGACGCUGAGGUGCGAAAGCGUGGGGAGCAAACAGGAUUAGAAACCCCUGUAGUCC